rnacentral:rRNA from 1 species
GUAGUCCAUGCCGUAAACGUUGGGCACUAGGUGUGGGGCUCAUUCCACGAGUUCCGUGCCGCAGCUAACGCAUUAAGUGCCCCGCCUGGGGAGUACGGCCGCAAGGCUAAAACUCAAAGGAAUUGACGGGGGCCCGCACAAGCGGCGGAGCAUGCGGAUUAAUUCGAUGCAACGCGAAGAACCUUACCAAGGCUUGACAUGCACCGGAACUGCUCAGAGAUGGGUAGGUCUUCGGACUGGUGCACAGGUGGUGCAUGGUUGUCGUCAGCUCGUGUCGUGAGAUGUUGGGUUAAGUCCCGCAACGAGCGCAACCCUCGUCCUAUGUUGCCAGCACGUCAUGGUGGGGACUCAUAGGAGACUGCCGGGGUCAACUCGGA